rnacentral:rRNA from 1 species
AUUGAACGCUGGCGGCAGGCCUAACACAUGCAAGUCGAGCGAGCGUCGGACGGGUGAGUAAUGUAUGGGGAUCUGCCCGUGAGGGGGGGAGAACUACUGGAGACGGGGGCUAAUACACCAUACUGCCGGAUGAAUCCCGAGGGGAUUAGCUGGUAGUGUAGGUAAUGGCUUACCUAGGGGACGCUCCCUAGCUGGUCUGAGAGGAUGAUCAGCCACACUGGAACUGAGACACGGCCCAGACUCCUACGGGAGGCAGCAGUGGGGAAUAUUGCACAAUGGGCGCAAGCCUGAUGCAGCCAUGCCGCGUGUGUGAAGAAGGCCCUAGGGUUGUAAAGCACUUUCAGUCGGGAGGCGUUACCGACAGAAGAAGCACCGGCUAACUCCGUGCCAGCAGCCGCGGUAAUUC